GUCCAAGGGCGGGAAUCGAACCCACAACCUUCUGCUUACCGGGCAGGUGCCAUGUCCACUAGGCUACCCUGGA